UACGUAGGUGGCAAGCGUUGUCCGGAUUUAUUGGGUUUAAAGGGUGCGUAGGCGGCCCUGUAAGUCAGCGCUGAAAUAUCCCGGCUUAACCGGGAGGGUGGCAUUGAUACUGCAGGGCUUGAGUAAAGUUGAGGUUGGCGGAAUUGACGGUGUAGCGGUGAAAUGCUUAGAUAUCGUCAAGAACACCUAUUGCGAAGGCAGCUAACUAAGCUUUAACUGACGCUGAGGCACGAAAGUGUGGGGAUCAAACAGG
rnacentral:rRNA from 1 species